GAAAGGUAUCAAAAUGGCCGAACACGGUACUGAAAUAGCUACUAGUCACCACCACUAGUGCUUUUGUGCAUGGUUUUUUCGCGCUUUGUUUUAAAAUAUACGCAAGAUAUACAACACGGAAAAUAUCAGAAUCGAGUCGGAUAUCGCUGAAAAUUCACAAUAUUUUGGAUAAUGGAAUGAAAUACAACCGAUUGGUUACUUUUCGUGCACAGAGAAAUCCGAAGGUCGCAACGAUUUUUUUAAUACUUCUGCAUAUUCGAGGACUUGAAUCAAUUGACGAAAGGAACUUUUGCUCGCAAGAAUUCACUCAUUCAAAGGAAUGAAACAAAGGACAUCGGAAAACACACAAAUCUGCUCACACAUCGUUAAAGUAACGUACCAAUAGCCUUAAAUCGAAAAUCUUUAUAUAAAGUACGUUCUCCCUGAAUUAAAUCUUUCAUCAUAAAGAUUGUACAAAAAUUAUUCUGAUUUCAAGGUUACGAAAAUCUUUAUCUUUAUCAGUAUAUUUAUUAUCGAUAUUUAAAUUUAUUAGUUAGUUUUCUUUCAUAGAAAAAGUUUAAAUUCUUUUAAUUUGUAUAAAUAUUUGAACGUAAAAUAUGGAUGACAAAAAUCAAGAAACUCUAAGUGAAAAUAUAUGCAUAAGUACGAUGCAGCCUGAUAUCAAACAAAAAUCGUCGAAUGCAAUUUCUAAGAGAAAUGAAAAAAUCCCCACGAAUGAAAUAUUCGAUGAAAAAGAUUUGUUAAUAGCACAGUUACAAAAGCAAGUUGAUAAACAAAAAGAAUGUAUAAUGUAUUAUGAAAGUAUCGUACAACUUAUGAAUUACAGGCUUAUGAAAUUGAAAAAGGUUCUUAAAACUCAUCAGUUAUUGGAAGAACUUAAUUAAUGAUCAUGAUUAAAGAAAAUGUUUACAAUGGUUUCUUCUUAAAAUUUAAAUAUAAUCGAACAAAUUUUGCAUUAAAAACAUGUGUACCUUUUAUAUUUCUGUUACUAAAAAAAAGUGUUUAGAUGUAUUUUCAUACAUCUUUCUAAUACAAAUAUUAAUUUCUUCUGUAGCAAAUAUUAUAAUGUUUUUGAACAAGAUGUAAAUAUAUAUAUGCAAAGACUGAUGUACAUAUUUUAUAGAAUGUGUUUAUUAAAAUUUUUUAACCUCCUUUUAACAUAUAAAAAGUUGAAGCAAACUGAAAUUUGCAAAAUCUAUGUACACUAUAAAAUGUUAAACAAUUAUACUUACUUAUAUACUGAACAUGGUUAAAUGAAAAGUAUCGGAAUAUAAUGAAUGAAUAAUUUUAAAAAAGAACUACAAAGAUCUUUUUUUUAAAUGUUGAAUAAUAUACUAGUUUCUAUUGAGUUUGAUUUGCAUAAUUUGAUCAUAUGAAAAUAAAUAUUUUCAAGAAUACGUUUUAAGUGUGUUGCCACAAUGUUAUAAUGUGUUUGGAUAUCAAAAAUUAUUGAGGUAGACAAAAUACAAAAAUUUAUUUUAUUCAUUAUUUAAGUAGCAAUAUACGCCGUUAUCGGUGUGCGUAAAAGAAAGUACUAAACACUGAUACUACAAAAUAUAAAAUGAAGUGUAUAUUACAAUACUUGUGUACUGAAAUAAAAUAAAUAACAUCAUUAAUUUAUUACCUAAUUAUUAACUAUAGUUAUUAAAGUCAAAUACGAACUAUGUCUUAGAUAAUAAUAACACGCCUGCAUAACAUACUCAAAUUUGUCAGUAUUUUUGUUACACUUUACACUUGAAUUAUUUUAAGACAUUUUAUAAAAACCCCUUUGAUCAAAACGGCAAUUGUCACAUGAAGAAAAAAAAAAAGAAAAAUAUUUCCAUUUGUUCAGUAUUAAUAAAGCAAAAGAGACCGUUAAAAAUUUGUAACGGAUCUCCUAUUACGUAGCAUCGAAGUAAGUAUUAGAUGACGAAUCAAACACUUCUCUUUGACGCACAAAAAGAAUAUAUUACAAUAUAGAAAUUUGGAUAUGCAUAUUCUUGACUUGUAUAUUGCUACUUGGAAACUUCAUAAAAUGCAGCAUUGAAACAAUGUCUUUACACUUACUUUACAGUAGUUUCAUAAAUAAUGUAAUUGUUGAGUCUUUGCGAUAUUUCCUUUUUUCUCUUAAAAACGACGAUAGAACAUAAUAAUAAUAUACACAUUACAAAAUCGAAAUGAAAA